AUUGAACGCUGGCGGCAGGCCUAACACAUGCAAGUCGAACGGCAGCACAGAAGAGCUUGCUCUCUGGGUGGCGAGUGGCGGACGGGUGAGUAAUGUCUGGGAAACUGCCCGAUGGAGGGGGAUAACUACUGGAAACGGUAGCUAAUACCGCAUAACGUCGCAAGACCAAAGUGGGGGACCUUCGGGCCUCACACCAUCGGAUGUGCCCAGAUGGGAUUAGCUAGUAGGUGGGGUAAUGGCUCACCUAGGCGACGAUCCCUAGCUGGUCUGAGAGGAUGACCAGCCACACUGGAACUGAGACACGGUCCAGACUCCUACGGGAGGCAGCAGUGGGGAAUAUUGCACAAUGGGCGCAAGCCUGAUGCAGCCAUGCCGCGUGUAUGAAGAAGGCCUUCGGGUUGUAAAGUACUUUCAGCGGGGAGGAAGGCGGUGAGGUUAAUAACCUUGCCGAUUGACGUUACCCGCAGAAGAAGCACCGGCUAACUCCGUGCCAGCCGCCGCAGUAA
rnacentral:rRNA from 1 species